CUGGCCAAUUGUGAACGAAAAUAAAGAAAACAGGACAUCAGAAAGGGUUAAACUGCUCGUCCUCCCAUCCUCAUCCAAUAACGAGAGAAAUGAUGAGAACAAGAAUGUAUAUAUCCCAUCAAAAUAAGGAAACAUCAAAUUAGAAAAUACUCUAAUCUGCAAAGCAGUUAACCGGUUCAUCCUUCAGCAGGGAAGGUGAAUAAAUUAUGCAGAAACAGCCAUGAUAACAAUAUAAUACACUAUGAAGUAUCAUUCACAUUGUCCUAUAAAAAGGGAGGGAAAAAAGGCAAUCCUGUACUUUGUGCACCAUGCCUAACGCAGGAUGAUCAAUUGACAAGACUACUCUAGACACAAUUCCAUGGAAAUAAAUUUUGUCCAGAAAGCAGUUCUUUCAAAAAAAAAUUACUGACAUCACACCUAACUUUCAAUAAUGAUCUCAAUUUAUAGCAUAUACAUAAAUGUGUGUAUUUUUUAACAUUUAAAACCACACACCCACCCCUGGCAAACAUCUAGGCCAAAUAGAGCAUCCAGCAAAUCCAGGACACAGGGAUACUACAAGUGCCCCCACAUCCCUGGCAAGCCCACAGAUAAAGCCUGUGUUUAUCAUCCCACAAGGGAAACAAUUAGCCAUCAAGACUUAUGCACCUAGCACCCUGACAAUUUCAUCUUCUAAAACAGUUGGCUGAUCAUUCUGAAGAGAGUGAAUUUGAUCAAAAAUGAAAAAUAUUUAUUAAAACUAUCAAUUAAAUAAAAAUUAUGUCAAACUAAUUUCAUUUAUUUUUUUAUUCAACUAAUUUCAUUUCCUUUGUUUAACUAAUUUCUCAAACUCUCAUAUUUGAUUAAAAUAGUAUUUUACCCUAGCACUUUUAUCAUGAAGAUCAAGGCAAAUCACAUAGAACAUUCACAUCUUGUACCUUUCAAGUUGUUCUGCCAAAAGAGAACCAUUGAGUACUGAAAAAUGUUUAUAUUUGAACAUCCACAAACAUGCUGCUCUAAAAGAUGAACCUGGAUCUGCUCCAAGCUGCCAUUCAAAAUUUCCAUAACCCAUCCAAUAAUAAGAAGAAAUCAUACAACCCGUCAGAACAUCAACACAAGCACCUUCUUCUUUUUUUCUUUUUUCUUUUUUUUUUUGAAGUUAAGAUAAAAUAUAAAAAAUGUCACGUUCUUUUCCAAACCUUGGCCAACCUCCUUUCACCACCCACAACCACCCCCACCCACCCCCUUCUUCCUUCCACGUCACCACCACCACCUUCAGCCAAUUGGCCACCACGGCCAAUGUGAAGCCCGUAAAUCUCAAUUCCAAUCGAAUACAAAAUUUCAGAUCCCAAAUAUGAGCCACUUAACCAGUAAUAAUCAUUAAAACAUAAAAAAUAUCAAGACCAUUAUGGGAAAAUUCUAUUGCUUUGAAAGCAAUAACUUUUAUUCAUUAUCCAUAGUUUUAUCAUAUAAUGUGCAGUAACAACUAUGUUACCUCUAUGGUUAUUACAAGACCAUAUAAUAUGUCGGAUGUAAAUAAUAAAACUUCAGUAUGUUAACUUUCAUCAACUAUCAUCCAAGCUUUUUAUUGCACAAAUUAAUAGAAUUUUAACGAAGUGUUUUUAAAUAGAAUUUAUAUCUGGGUUGAAGAUAUUUUUUAUGAGUGUUGUUAAGCGUUUACUUUCCACUGUUCUAAGCAAAAAUUCAUUCCUGACCAUGAACAUCGUCAUGCCUCAGUGCAUUGCCACUAGAGAAUAGCCUCAAUUGUCAAGACUAGAACAAGAACUUUCACCACCAGGAUGAUCAAAUUAGAGUUGAUAAUAUAGUUUUCGGAGAUCCGAGUUCGACUAUAAUGUUUUGUAGUGCCUGGUUGAUAUCCUUUAGCCAAUCACUUCUCUUUGCAGUAUUUACAUUGAGUUUUCUGACUGUCCAUCUACUAUUGUACUCGUGACCAUCAGUUUGAAAUAUUCCCAACACUCAGUAUCUUCAAUUUUGUUUACUGCUUGAAACUAUUGCCAAUGUUUCGUUUUUAAUAUCAUCCAAAUCAAUUGAAUUCGUGCUCCCAUAGUCAUCUCACAUAUCAUCAAGAAUUGGGACAUCAUUGACCUAAUGACGGAGCUGGAGUACUUUUUUGGGCAAGCGCUAACCAUUUCGUUGAAGUCAACUAAUGUUCAACAAUCUGCUAUAAUCUAUUUAAUAUUGGAAUAACAUAUAUAAGAAAAGGGUCAAAUAGAAUUAAUAUAAUUAUAUUAGGCCCUUGUUUGAGGGUCAUUUUUCAACCAAAAUACAUUCUUCAACAAUGAUUUGACAUCAUUUCAACCAUACAUUCUUCAACGCAAAUCAAAAACUUUUCCUUAUUUUUUAACCACACAUUUCCCAUCAAUACACUAUUCAAAAAUUCAUAUGAUGAACAGAAAAAAAAACAAAUAAGAAAAUAGAGAAAAUAAAACCCAAAAUUACACAAUAAAUGAGCUAAUAUAAAAAUUGUAAGAACUAUAUUGUAUAAUGUAGAAUAUAGAUUUAAAAUGAAUAAUACUAUUUGCAGGCACUUACUAGCGUAGUCGUCCUACAUGGCACACUCAAACAUUUUGUAACCAAGGAUCCAAUGCUCUUUACCAGCUAUAUACCAAGUAUUGUUCCAUUCACUAAACUAAAGCCAUGCAAGGAAAAAUACUAAAAUCUCUCCUGUGUUUACACUUCAAUAUAACUGAAAACUAUCCACAUUUCAUUUGACAACUACACUGUACACCAUACAUUUUCUACAACAAAUCAGAUAAUAUAAACUGUGAAACUGGAAAUGGAGACACCCCACACCAAAAGAAUCAAAGAAAUUUAAUUUUCAAAUAUACGAUAAUCCCAUUUUCAAUCACGAGAUAUAUUUUACUAAUAGUGAAGAAGAAGAAGUUGCCUGAGCAUGGAUUGCCUUCAGUAAUGCCACAAACUUGAAAAGACUCCCUUCCGAGAACCACUUCAGUUUCCACAUUACGGGACCUGAAACCGGCCCUUUCUUGAUAACUGCAGCAUCCUUUACAGUGCAUUCUUUCUGUACAGGACGUAACUCUGAUGUACAAUUGAGAGCCAGGGUCACGCAGAGGCCAUCCAGAGUAUCAAUGACCUGGAAAAGUAAAAACAGUUUUCUUCGGUGAGUUUCACUCGAACAUAAUCUAUGGAUAAAAUAUCGAAUGAAUCAAAAUUACAUGAUAUUCAAGCUGCAAGAGCUCUACUUGAAGGUCACAACCAAAAUAACACAAUUGAGAUAUCAGCUAAGCAAACUCAAAUUUGCAGUAGCUCGAAAAACCGGAAGAAAAAUGCCAAGUAACUUGGGAUCUACAUAAGCCCAGUUGAAUUGCCUAAAACUUAUUUUUUUCCAUGUAAAUUCCAUGCUUGCAAUCAAACACACCCUAAAAUAUCAUAAGAAUAACAACUUCAAAUAAGCUAUAAUAGCUUAUUGACAUUAAAACCUACAAAAUAUACGAUAAAACUUGAAUAAAUGCUAUAGUGGUAGGAGCAUUUAUAAAAAUUACCAUCUCUGAGAUAUUAACAAUGGCACAACUUGAAUCCAGCGAAAAAUAAUUAGAAGAUGCAAGCUCAGUGGGGCCAAACUGCUCAAGGUCCUCAAUGCAGACAAGCAACUGUCCUCCAACAAUGAACAGCGACCUUGAAAGCCACAAAUCUUCUGGCCAAUUGUGAACGAAAAUAAAGAAAACAGGACAUCAGAAAGGGUUAAACUGCUCGUCCUCCCAUCCUCAUCCAAUAACGAGAGAAAUGAUGAGAACAAGAAUGUAUAUAUCCCAUCAAAAUAAGGAAACAUCAAAUUAGAAAAUACUCUAAUCUGCAAAGCAGUUAACCGGUUCAUCCUUCAGCAGGGAAGGUGAAUAAAUUAUGCAGAAACAGCCAUGAUAACAAUAUAAUACACUAUGAAGUAUCAUUCACAUUGUCCUAUAAAAAGGGAGGGAAAAAAGGCAAUCCUGUACUUUGUGCACCAUGCCUAACGCAGGAUGAUCAAUUGACAAGACUACUCUAGACACAAUUCCAUGGAAAUAAAUUUUGUCCAGAAAGCAGUUCUUUCAAAAAAAAAUUACUGACAUCACACCUAACUUUCAAUAAUGAUCUCAAUUUAUAGCAUAUACAUAAAUGUGUGUAUUUUUUAACAUUUAAAACCACACACCCACCCCUGGCAAACAUCUAGGCCAAAUAGAGCAUCCAGCAAAUCCAGGACACAGGGAUACUACAAGUGCCCCCACAUCCCUGGCAAGCCCACAGAUAAAGCCUGUGUUUAUCAUCCCACAAGGGAAACAAUUAGCCAUCAAGACUUAUGCACCUAGCACCCUGACAAUUUCAUCUUCUAAAACAGUUGGCUGAUCAUUCUGAAGAGAGUGAAUUUGAUCAAAAAUGAAAAAUAUUUAUUAAAACUAUCAAUUAAAUAAAAAUUAUGUCAAACUAAUUUCAUUUAUUUUUUUAUUCAACUAAUUUCAUUUCCUUUGUUUAACUAAUUUCUCAAACUCUCAUAUUUGAUUAAAAUAGUAUUUUACCCUAGCACUUUUAUCAUGAAGAUCAAGGCAAAUCACAUAGAACAUUCACAUCUUGUACCUUUCAAGUUGUUCUGCCAAAAGAGAACCAUUGAGUACUGAAAAAUGUUUAUAUUUGAACAUCCACAAACAUGCUGCUCUAAAAGAUGAACCUGGAUCUGCUCCAAGCUGCCAUUCAAAAUUUCCAUAACCCAUCCAAUAAUAAGAAGAAAUCAUACAACCCGUCAGAACAUCAACACAAGCACCUUCUUCUUUUUUUCUUUUUUCUUUUUUUUUUUU
rnacentral:lncRNA from 1 species